UACGAAGGGUGCAAACGUUGCUCGGAAUUAUUGGGCGUAAAGCGCACGUAGGCGGCUCUGUAAGUUGGAUGUGAAAUCCCUCGGCUUAACCAAGGAAGUGCAUUCAAAACUGCAGAGCUUGAGUACUUAAGAGGAUCGCGGAAUUCCCGGUGUAGAGGUGAAAUUCGUAGAUAUCGGGAGGAACACCAGUGGCGAAGGCGGCGAUCUGGGAAGAUACUGACGCUGAGGUGCGAAAGCGUGGGGAGCAAACAGG
rnacentral:rRNA from 1 species